rnacentral:rRNA from 1 species
UAGGGAAUCUUCCACAAUGGGCGAAAGCCUGAUGGAGCAACGCCGUGUGUGUGAUGAAGGGUUUCGGCUCGUAAAACACUGUUGUAAGAGAAGAAUGACAUUGAGAGUAACUGUUCAAUGUGUGACGGUAUCUUACCAGAAAGGAACGGCUAAAUACGUACCAG